GUCUUAAAGAAUUAAUAUUUUAAGUCUGACCUGCUCAAUGUAUAAUAAAUAGCCGCAGUAUUUUGACUGUGCAAAGGUAGCAUAAUAAUUUGUCCAUUAAUUAUGGUCUGGAAUGAAAGGUUUGACAAGAAAAUAACUAUUUUAAAUUAAAGUUGAACUUUAAUUAUUAGUAAAAAUGCUAAUUUAACUCAAAAAGACGAGAAGACCCUAUUAAGUUUUAUAUUUAUAAUAACUUAAUUAUUAGAAAUAUUUGUAAUUAAAAAUAUUUGAUUGGGGCAAUUAAAAUUAUGAAAUAUUUUAUAAAAAUACUUAAAUAAUAGUUAGAUGAUCCAUUAUUAAUGAUUAAUAGAACAAAUUACUAUAGGGAUAACAGCGUAAUAUUAUUAUAGAGUUCUUAUCGAUGAUAAUGAUUGCGACCUCGAUGUUGAAUUAGAAUUCCUAUUUGAAGCAGAAAUUAAAUAAGGUGGUCUGUUCGACCAAUAAUGUUCUACA
rnacentral:rRNA from 1 species